UGAACCUCUGUAGUCACAGAUCAAUAUUUGUGUUCGAGCAAGACGCAAUUAUAGCCAUGAACAAAAUUAAUUUCGUUUUGCUGCUGGUCGCUUUGUUCGCGAUUACGAAGGCGCAUCCUCAAGGAGUGAACGUAGUUGAUCAGGCGGGAGGCGGUGGAGUGAGCGUCGUUGAUAACAACCCAGGCUACGUACAUGUAGUAGACGGAGAACAUCAAGUUAAUGUCGUGGACAAGCCAGCAGGACCUCCGAACGGAGCAAGAGGUGGAGGCAACUGACUUUGAAUGGAAGAACUACUACCUCUAUUCUGAUAGAAAACUUUAAAUAAAAUAACACAUGCUUAAUUAAUUAAUACAAACGCUACUUAACUUACGUGAUUAAAUGUUUUAGAACU